rnacentral:tRNA from 1 species
GAGGGCGUAGCUCAGUGGUCGAGUGCAUGCUUAGCAUGCACGAGGGUCUGGGUUCCAUCCCCAGGACCUCU